rnacentral:lncRNA from 1 species
AGUGCUGGGAUUACAGGUGUGAGCCACUGCGCCCGACCGCUGCAGUUUAUAAGUUUUUUUUAAAAAAGUAUUAUCAGACAAUUCUGGGUGUGUGAUUCCAGGUUCCAUUCCUAGGAGGCAUCGCGUGUCUCUGCUUGCCUCUCAUGCUGGUCCAAUGUGUCUGAAAGACCAACGAAGCAGAUCUGCACCCAUCCUGCAGCUUGGAGCCAAGCCACUCUGAGCCCAGCCUAGAUCAGGUGGUCCCUAGAUGUCCUCCAGAUGCAUGAGCAAGAACAAAUGAUCGGAGACUUAGUUCCCUGAAUUGAAGGUAUGCUUCAUUGUUUGCAAUAGCCAGCUGAUGCAGAGCUGGAACAGCUCACAGUUCUUUCUCCCUCCAUCCUGAAUAGUGUUCUGGCAACCUGGUACUUACCUCCCUCUCCCAAGCCACAGGUGUCCUCUACCAUCCCUCCACUUCUUCUUCUCUCUUUCCUUAUCACCCAAGUCUAAAGGCAGUCCCAGAUCCAAAGGGCCAUUAUUGAGCUCUCUUCCCCUCCUCUCAGCUGCAUGGUAGGUCCAGGAUCCACUGUGCCACCCAUCCGCAGCAACGGCCUCAGGCCCGUCCCCUCCCUGGAGCUUGGGGUACAGGAAACAGAUGGAUAUAUGGGUAUAUAUUUCUCAAGUGAAGUAGCACAGGAAACCCCAAAUGCUGAGUCCUUAGGUGUAGGAAUUUUUGUUCUGUGGGUCAGUGAGUAUGAUGAGGCUUAAGCAGAACAGUAUUGGGGAAAAUUUUCACCCAAAUAUAUUUUCUAUAGGGUGGAAAAUUACAAAAAGAGAAAUAAAACAAUCCCCUAUGAAGCUUCUUUCUGGUAUAAAUAAAAUGAUUUAUAUAAACUGUCCAACUAGCAGGGUCAUGCAGCAAAGUAACUACUGGUCAUUAAAUAUAGGACAAAUCAAGUUUUAUUUGACAAUAAUAUUAAAUUCCACUCAUUAGUUCCUGGACAUCUGUUGAUCACAUAAUAAGACAACCUGCCCA